GACGAACGCUGGCGGCGUGCCUAAUACAUGCAAGUUGAGCGCUGAAGGUUGGUACUUGUACCAACUGGAUGAGCAGCGAACGGGUGAGUAACGCGUGGGGAAUCUGCCUUUGAGCGGGGGACAACAUUUGGAAACGAAUGCUAAUACCGCAUAAAAACUUUAAACACAAGUUUUAAGUUUGAAAGAUGCAAUUGCAUCACUCAAAGAUGAUCCCGCGUUGUAUUAGCUAGUUGGUGAGGUAAAGGCUCACCAAGGCGAUGAUACAUAGCCGACCUGAGAGGGUGAUCGGCCACAUUGGGACUGAGACACGGCCCAAACUCCUACGGGAGGCAGCAGUAGGGAAUCUUCGGCAAUGGACGAAAGUCUGACCGAGCAACGCCGCGUGAGUGAAGAAGGUUUUCGGAUCGUAAAACUCUGUUGGUAGAGAAGAACGUUGGUGAGAGUGGAAAGCUCAUCAAGUGACGGUAACUACCCAGUAAGGGACGGCUAACUACGUG
rnacentral:rRNA from 1 species